AAUAUUGAUAUUAAAAGGCCUCCGAACAAAAAGGGGUGUUCAGAUCCCCGAGCCCGAAGGGCGAGGGGAUUUGAACAGCCCUUUUUGCGAGGAGGUCUUUUUAUGUCAAUAUU
rnacentral:sRNA from 1 species